UACAGAGACUGCAAGCGUUAUUCGGAUUCACUGGGCGUAAAGGGUGCGCAGGCGGCCGUGUGUGUGAGGCGUGAAAGCCCGGGGCUUAACCCCGGAAUUGCACCUCAAACUACAUGGCUAGAGCAUUGGAGAGGGUAGCGGAAUUCACGGUGUAGCAGUGAAAUGCGUAGAUAUCGUGAGGAACACCAGAGGCGAAGGCGGCUACCUGGACAAUUGCUGACGCUCAGGCACGGAAAGCGUGGGGGAGCAAACAGG
rnacentral:rRNA from 1 species